rnacentral:tRNA from 1 species
UAGCCUAGUAAUUAAGGCUUUGGAUCGCCAAUCCGGAGACGGCGGGUUCGAUUCCCGU